rnacentral:tRNA from 1 species
GGGCCCGGAGCUCAGUGGUAGAGCGGGUGUCUUAUAUACACCAUGCCGUAGGUUCGAUUCCUACCGGGCCCACCA